rnacentral:rRNA from 1 species
AUACGGCCCAGACUCCUACGGGAGGCAGCAGUGGGGAAUAUUGCACAAUGGGCGAAAGCCUGAUGCAGCAACGCCGCGUGCGGGAUGAAGGCCUUCGGGUUGUAAACCGCUUUCAGCUAUGACGAAUGUGACGGUAGUAGCAGAAGAAGCACCGGCUAACUACGUGCCAGCAGCCGCGGUGAUACGUAGGGUGCGAGCGUUGUCCGGAAUUAUUGGGCGUAAAGAGCUUGUAGGCGGUCUGUUGCGUCGGAAGUGAAAACUCAGGGCUUAACCCUGAGCCUGCUUUCGAUACGGGCAGACUUGAGGGAUGUAGGGGAGAACGGAAUUCCUGGUGGAGCGGUGGAAUGCGCAGAUAUCAGGAGGAACACCGGUGGCGAAGGCGGUUCUCUGGACCUUUCCUGACGCUGAGGAGCGAAAGCGUGGGGAGCAAACAGGCUUAGAUACCCUGGUAGUCCACGCCGUAAACGGUGGGCACUAGGUGUGGGACCCAUUCCACGGGUUCCGUGCCGUAGCUAACGCAUUAAGUGCCCCGCCUGGGGAGUACGGCCGCAAGGCUAAAACUCAAAGGAAUUGACGGGGGCCCGCACAAGCGGCGGAGCAUGCGGAUUAAUUCGAUGCAACGCGAAGAACCUUACCUGGGUUUGACAUGCACUAGAAAGCGUCAGAGAUGGCGCCUCCUUCGGGCUGGUGUGCAGGUGGUGCAUGGCUGUCGUCAGCUCGUGUCGUGAGAUGUUGGGUUAAGUCCCGCAACGAGCGCAACCCUCGUCCUAUGUUGCCAGCGGGUAAUGCCGGGGACUCAUAGGAGACUGCCGGGGUCAACUCGGAGGAAGGUGGGGAUGACGUCAAGUCAUCAUGCCCCUUAUGUCCAGGGCUUCACGCAUGCUACAAUGGCCGGUACAAAGGGCUGCGAUGCUGUAAGGUGGAGCGAAUCCCAAAAAGCCGGUCUCAGUUCGGAUUGGGGUCUGCAACUCGACCCCAUGAAGUCGGAGUCGCUAGUAAUCGCAGAUCAGCAUUGCUGCGGUGAAUACGUUCCCGGGCCUUGUACACACCGCCCGUCAAGUCAUGAAAGUCGGUAACACCCGAAGCCGGUGGCCUAACCCUUGUGGAGGGAGCCGUCGAAGGUGGGAUCGGUAAUUAGGACUAAGUCGUAACAAGGUAGCCGUACCGGAAGGUGCGGCUGG